AUUACACAUGCAAAUUAAACAUUUAUAAUAAGUAUAAUUAUAAAUAUGUAGUGAAGACGUGAGUAAAACAUUAGGAAUUAAAUGAACUAUAAAUUAAGUUAAAUGCUUAAUAAUAUAUAUAUAUAUAUAUAUUAAAUAUAUAUAUAUAUAUAAAAAGAAUAUAUAAUAAAUAUAUUUAUUUAUAGUCAAGCCAAUAAUGGUUUAGGUAGUAGGAUUGAAUAAAGUUAAACCGUAGCCAACGAUCCAUAAUCGAUAAUUAAAGUUAUAACGAUCCAGUUGAUUAUGAAAUAU
rnacentral:rRNA from 1 species